UCAGGUUGAUCCUGCCGGACCUGACUGCUAUCUGAUUGGUACUAAGCCAUGCGAGUCGUUGUAGCAAUACAAGGCGAACUGCUCAGUAACACGUAGUUAACCUAACCUAUGGAUGGGGAUAACCUCGGGAAACUGAGAAUAAUACCCAAUAGAUCACAGUGCCUGGAAUGGCCUGUGAUUGAAAUGAUUUAUCGCUGUAGGAUGGGACUGCGGCCUAUCAGCUUGUUGGUGAGGUAAUGGCCCACCAAGGCUAUAACAGGUACGGGCUCUGAGAGGAGGGGCCCGGAGAUGGGUACUGAGACACGGACCCAGGCCCUAUGGGGCGCAGCAGGCGAGAAACCUUUGCAAUGUGCGAAAGCACGACAAGGUUAAUCCGAGUGUCUCCUGCUAAAGGAGUCUUUUGUCAGUUGUAGAAUCACUGGCGAAUAAGGGGUGGGCAAGUUCUGGUGUCAGCCGCCGCGGUAAAACCAGCACCUCGAGUGGUCAGGAGGUUUAUUGGGCCUAAAGCAUCCGUAGCCGGUUGCAUAAGUUUUCGGUUAAAUCUAUGCGCUCAACGUAUAGGCCGGCGAAAAUUCUGUGCAGCUAGGGAGU
rnacentral:rRNA from 1 species